rnacentral:rRNA from 1 species
CCCUUAGAUGUUCUGGGCCGCACGCGCGCUACACUGACGGAGGCAGCGAGCAUGUCCUUCGCCGAGAGGUGUGGGGAAUCUUGUGAGUCUCCGUCGUGCUGGGGAUAGAUGGUUGCAAUUGUCGAUCUUGAACGAGGAAUGCCUAGUAAGCGCAAGUCAUCAGCUUGCGUUGAUUACGUCCCUGCCCUUUGUACACACCGCCCGUCGCUCCUACCGAUUGAAUGGUCCGGUGAAGCGUUCGGACCGUGGCCUUUGGACGGUUCGCCGUCUGUUGGCUGCGGGAAGUUCGUUAAACCUUAUCAUUUAGAGGAAGGAGAAGUCGUAACA